UACGGAGGGAGCUAGCGUUGUUCGGAAUUACGGGGCGUAAAGCGCGCGUAGGCGGCUUUGUAAGUUAGAGGUGAAAGCCCGGGGCUCAACCCCGGAACUGCCUUUAAGACUGCAUCGCUUGAAUCCGGGAGAGGUGAGUGGAAUUCCGAGUGUAGAGGUGAAAUUCGUAGAUAUUCGGAAGAACACCAGUGGCGAAGGCGGCUCACUGGACCGGCAUUGACGCUGAGGUGCGAAAGCGUGGGGAGCAAACAGG
rnacentral:rRNA from 1 species